UAAAACUUCUCUCUCUGUUUUUUUUUCUUCUCUCUGUUUGGUAGAGAAGAAACGGGCCUUGGAAGGUUCAAGGGAAACACCGAAACGCUCCGUGGACGAUCAGCCUCCAGUUUGAACAUGGCUGCCAAGUACAUCGUACCUGCUAUCAUGGGAUCAUUUGCAAUCGCAUUUGUAUGUGACCAUUAUCUUGCUGAUAAGAAGAUAUUUGGAGGUACUACUCCAAAAACUGUUUCAAACAAGGAAUGGUGGGAAGAAACCGACAAAAAAUUCCAGGCAUGGCCUCGUACUGCAGGUCCACCAGUGGUCAUGAAUCCCAUCAGUCGCCAGAAUUUCAUUGUUAAGUCCCGCACUGAAUCUUGAAGAUUUCAUGCUUUCAAUUAAUUGGUUCCCUCCUGCUCUGAUAGAACUUCCUAGUCCUAAACUAUGUUCUUCCUUUUUGAUGCUUGGAAAGAUAGAUCUGAAUAAAUGUCAGAAAAUCUUGUGUUUCUUUCUUUCUUCCAAUUUUUAUGUUCGGUGUGCUACUUGUAAUCUAAUUACAAUAAGUUCUGCCUAAUAAAUUUUCAGCCAGGUGUGAUUAUGACAAACAAGAAUGAGUGAGUUUCUUCUGUUUC